ensembl:lncRNA
CAUCAUAGCAGGAGGCAGAAUCCUGCUUGAGAAGGUGGCCGGGUAGCAAACUGAAAAGGCCAGAUCCUUUCCCCGUCUCCUUUGCAGCUAGCGUGGCAUUGUGAUCUAGGCUCAGCCAAUCAGACACACCUUCCCCAGCCCCCAUUGAGGCUUUGAAUCACUGCUAAGGAAGCACAGAGUGGGCAGAGGAGAAGCCGUUCUGGCAGCACAGGUGACGGUAGAAGCAACUCCAGGUCUGAUGCCAGCGGCAGAGAGAGGGCAAGCUGGCAUCCGGUGUUCUUCGGUUGUAGAAGACGUGUCACUGCCCUGCUGCUGCUGCUGCUGCUAAAUCGCUUCAGUCAUGUCCGACUCUGUGCGACCCCAUAGACGGCAGCCCCACCAGGCUCCUCUGUCUCUGGGAUUCUCCAGGCAAGAAUACUGGAGUGGGUUGCCAUUUCCUUCUCCAGUGCAAAGUGGAAGUGAAGUUGCUCGGUCGUGUCCGACCCUCAGCGACCCCAUGGACUGCAGCCUUCCAGGCUCCUCCAUCCAUGGGAUUUUCCAGGCAAGAGUACUGGAGUGGGAUGCCAUCGCCUUCUCUGAUCUUGGGCCCAGAGGUCCUGAAUCUAAUCCUUAUUUUGCAACUAAAUAAAACUCAGUGCCUUAAUGUUAAGCCAUCUCUGCUCCUUCCCUCUGUGAACUUGUGAUUUGUUUUCAUUUCCAACUUCCAAUAAGAGGAAUCAAAGUUCAUCAAGUUCUUUGGAAAUUAAGCUCAAAUGAGUCUUAUACCUUCUACUCCCCACUCCAAACCAAAGUAGAAGUUUUCAUGAUCACCGUUAGCAGCAGCAGCACUCACAUGAUCACUAUCCUGAUGUACGGUUGUUACUUGUGAUAUUGAUUAACUUCAUAUAUGGCAGAAAUAGCAUAUGAUAUAUUUUUGGCUAUUUCCGGCUCAGGAAUCCAGGAAUUGUAACAUUCCAACACACCAAGGGACAUCGGGAAGUCAUCUACCCCACCCUCUGCUUUUCAGAGAUGUUCAAACCAUAUGGAAAUACUUUAUUUUCAAGCAAAAUAUUUGUACGUGUGUGAUGAGAUGGCUAGUGAAAGGAAAAUAGACACCAACAGGAAGUUAAAAUGAAAUGCUUCAUUUUUUUCCAUAGGGUUUUAGUUAGCAAUAAAAGACCUUCAGUGCUGUGGGAGAAAGGCCAUCAUGGGUAGUUUUGUGAACUCAGUGAUAAGCUCACCAUUGAAGAGAGAUGUGCAGUGAACCUGAUUAUUUCUCCAAGUGCUGUCAUUUUCGCAAGAGCUGGCAUUUGCAGCCUCUUGAAGAACACCAACACUGUCAUCACAGCUCCAACUUGAGCAAUCAAUCAGGGGUUUGAAACAUUAAACUCGAAUAUAUAAUUU